CAAGCUUAACACAUGCAAGUCGAACGGAUUAUUCUUUAUAGCUUGCUAUAAAGAAUAGUUAGUGGCAGACGGGUGAGUAAUGCAUAGGAAUCUACCUAGUAGUAUGGGAUAGCCACUAGAAAUGGUGGGUAAUACUGCAUAAUCCCUGCGGGGGAAAGAUUUAUCGCUAUUAGAUGAGCCUAUGUUAGAUUAGCUAGUUGGUAGGGUCAAGGCCUACCCAGGCGAUGAUCUAUAGCUGGUCUGAGAGGAUGAUCAGCCACACUGGAACUGAGAUACGGUCCAGACUCCUACGGGAGGCAGCAGUGGGGAAUAUUGGACAAUGGGCGCAAGCCUGAUCCAGCUAUGCCGCGUGAGUGAGGAAGGCCUUAGGGUUGUAAAACUCUUUCAGUAGGGAAGAUAAUGACGGUACCUACAGAAGAAGUCCCGGCAAACUCCGUGCCAGCAGCCGCGGUAAUACGGAGGGGGCAAGCGUUGUUCGGAAUUAUUGGGCGUAAAGGGCAUGUAGCGGUUCGGUAAGUUAAAGGUGAAAUGCCAGGGCUUAACCCUGGAGCUGCUUUUAAUACUGCCAGACUAGAGUCCGGGAGAGGAUAGCGGAAUUCCUAGUGUAGAGGUGAAAUUCGUGGAUAUUAGGAGGAACACCAGUGGCGAAGGCGGCUAUCUGGUCCGGUACUGACGCUGAGGUGCGAAAGCGUGGGGAGCAAACAGGAUUAGAUACCCGGGUAGUCCACGCUGUAAACGAUGAGUGCUGAAUGUGGGGAUUUUUUAUCUCUGUGUUGUAGCUAACGCGUUAAGCACUCCGCCUGGGGACUACGGUCGCAAGACUAUAACUCAAAGGAAUUGACGGGGACCCGCACAAGCGGUGGAGCAUGUGGUUUAAUUCGAUGCAACGCGAAAAACCUUACCACUCCUUGACAUGGAGAUUAGAUCCUUCUUAACGGAAGGGCGCAGUUCGGCUGGAUCUCGCACAGGUGCUGCAUGGCUGUCGUCAGCUCGUGUCGUGAGAUGUUGGGUUAAGUCCCGCAACGAGCGUAACCCUCAUCCUUAGUUGCCAGCGGGUUAAGCCGGGCACUUA
rnacentral:rRNA from 1 species